AACGAACGCUGGCGGCAGGCCUAACACAUGCAAGUCGAGCGGGACCUUCGGGUCUAGCGGCGGACGGGUGAGUAUCGCGUGGGAAUGUGCCCUUCUCUACGGAAUAGCCUCGGGAAACUGAGAGUAAUACCGUAUACGCCCUUUGGGGGAAAGAUUUAUCGGAGAAGGAUCAGCCCGCGUUGGAUUAGGUAGUUGGUGGGGUAAUGGCCUACCAAGCCGACGAUCCAUAGCUGGUUUGAGAGGAUGAUCAGCCACACUGGGACUGAGACACGGCCCAGACUCCUACGGGAGGCAGCAGUGGGGAAUCUUAGACAAUGGGGGAAACCCUGAUCUAGCCAUGCCGCGUGAGUGAUGAAGGCCUUAGGGUUGUAAAGCUCUUUCAGCUGGGAAGAUAAUGACGGUACCAGCAGAAGAAGCCCCGGCUAACUCCGUGCCAGCCGCCGCCGUAACAC
rnacentral:rRNA from 1 species